GACGAACGCUGGCGGCGUGCCUAAUACAUGCAAGUUGAGCGAUGAAGAUUGGUGCUUGCACCAAUUUGAAGAGCAGCGAACGGGUGAGUAACGCGUGGGGAAUCUGCCUUUGAGCGGGGGACAACAUUUGGAAACGAAUGCUAAUACCGCAUAACAACUUUAAACAUAAGUUUUAAGUUUGAAAGAUGCAAUUGCAUCACUCAAAGAUGAUCCCGCGUUGUAUUAGCUAGUUGGUGAGGUAAAGGCUCACCAAGGCGAUGAUACAUAGCCGACCUGAGAGGGGGGUCGGCCACAUUGGGACUGAGACACGGCCCAAACUCCUACGGGAGGCAGCCGUAGGGGAUCUUCGGCAAUGGACGAAAGUCUGACCGGGCAACGCCGCGGGGGUGGAGAAGGUUUUCGGAUCGUAAAACUCUGUUGGUAGAGAAGAACGUUGGUGAGAGUGGAAAGCUCAUAAAGUGACGGUAACUACCCAGAAAGGGACGGCUAACUACGUG
rnacentral:rRNA from 1 species